rnacentral:rRNA from 1 species
CGCGCAGGCGGCCAGGUCAGUCGAAUGUGAAAGCCCCCCGGCUCAACUGGGGGAAGGUCGUUCGAUACUGCCUGGCUCGAAGAUAGGAGAGGGAAGUGGAAUUUCAGGUGUAGUGGUGAAAUGCGUAGAUAUCUGAAGGAACACCAGUGGCGAAGGCGACUUUCUGGCCUAUUCUUGACGCUGAGGCGCGAAAGCUAGGGGAGCGAACG